AGUAGCUAAAAAUAGUCAUUGGAUCAAAAGUUGGAUUGGUAAUCAGGCGGACAUUUUCUAUAUGAGUGUCAUAUAUUCCGCCAAAAAACAUGGCUUUUAGCACCAAUAAAAAUGCACCAAAACCCAGAAUAAUCAGGUGAUGUCCUAAGAUCAAACCUAGCUUUUUAGGAUCAUUCCA
rnacentral:antisense_RNA from 13 species